rnacentral:rRNA from 1 species
UACAGAGGGUGCGAGCGUUAAUCGGAAUUACUGGGCGUAAAGCGUGCGUAGACGGUUAUUUAAGUCAGGUGUGAAAGCCCCGGGCUCAACCUGGGAAUUGCAUUCGAGACUGCUCUGCUAGGGUGCGGAAGAGGGAAGCGGAAUUUCCGGUGUAGCGGUGAAAUGCGUAGAUAUCGGAAGGAACACCAGUGGCGAAAGCGGCUUCCUGGUCCAGCACCGACGUUCAGGCACGAAAGCGUGGGGAGCAAACAGG